AAAAAAUAUUAUAAAGAAUAGCGUUCAUUACUUCAAGGACCUUAUAUGUUUUCAUUUUUUCUCAGAUAAAAUAGUUACAGAGACCCUCUUUACUGUAGAAUGCUGUCUGUCCUCUCAUUUGAAAAUAUUUACGUUUAGCCCCGGUGCUCAGACCUGUCCCUCAGACAUAAGAGGACUGACUGGCCUGAUGUAAUUAUCAUGCUGAAAAAAAAAAAGACUGUUAUGUCAAAACUGCAGUAAACAUCAAGAAGAAAAUAGACGGACACUAUUUUCUGCAUUUUAAGCAAACUCCCCAUCAGGGAAGCUAAUAGACCAUCACAACCAGCAGUCAAAGGACAGGCACCUUUUUGUCACAGAUUCUCAGUUCUUUCUGUUGUAAAUAGAUGCAAUGAAGCAUUUGAAACUGCCAAGUGACAACACAGAGAAUACCUAAAAUCUUUUUUUUCCCUUUCUCUCUACAGCAAAUCAACAGACUAUGUCCUCCUCUCCUACGUUUUGUCUGACAAGCAGCAUUUUUUUAAUAAAAGACAGGUGAACGAGUAAAUGAAUGCAGUGCAGAUCCAGUGCAGAUAGCUGCCUGCUGGCUGUGUUGGAACCAGGGAGACGUCAAAUGGGAGACUAUGGCUCAGCAGGAGCUCAGCUGAUCUGGGAACACCUGCUGGCCUGGGAAUGUCCUGAAGAUGGCAGAGAUUAAGAGCUCCUAAUCUGCAAGACUGGAUUAGAUGAUGUAUGUGCUUACUACGUGUUCUUGACAAAUGGUAACUAUUAUUACCACUUCAAGUUUCCCCUUUGACAUUUGGAUAGCUUUCUUGGACUUAACCUUGGUCUACUGACUCCUUCUGUCUCUUACCUUCACACUGUUGAAGCUUCCACUUCCCCAGAUUAGACUAACCCCUGCCUCUUGAGAAGAGUGUGGACUUGGUUUGUGAUUCCUGGGCAUUUUCCGAACCACCUCACCCAAAAGGAGGAAUCUCUUGUCCAGAACUCUACAACUCCCUUCCUUUGGCUCUGC
rnacentral:lncRNA from 1 species